GACGAACGCUGGCGGCGUGCUUAACACAUGCAAGUCGAACGAUGAAGCCGGAGCUUGCUCCGGUGGAUUAGUGGCGAACGGGAGAGUAACACGUGAGCAAUCUGCCCUUGACUCUGGGAUAACUGCGGGAAACUGUAGCUAAUACCGGAUACGACACCUUGGGGCAUCCCAGGGUGUGGAAAGAUUGUCGGUCAAGGAUGAGCUCGCGGCCUAUCAGCUAGUUGGUGAGGUAAUGGCUCACCAAGGCGACGACGGGUAGCCGGCCUGAGAGGGUGACCGGCCACACUGGAACUGAGACACAGUCCAGACUCCUACGGGAGGCAGCAGUGGGGAAUAUUGCACAAUGGGCGAAAGCCUGAUGCAGCAACGCCGCGUGAGGGAUGAAGGCAUUCGGGUUGUAAACCUCUUUUAGCAGGGAAGAAGCGAAAGUGACGGUAGGUGCAGAAGAAGGACCGGCCAACUACGUGCCAGCAGCCGCAGUAA
rnacentral:rRNA from 1 species